GCCCAAGUGUUGAAAUUGGUAGACAAGCGGCCUUGAGGGGGCCGUGUUCGCAAGGACGUGCUGGUUCGAAUCCAGUCUUGGGUA
rnacentral:tRNA from 1 species